UAAUCUGUAUUGGGUAACAUCUGAUUUGAGAAAAUACCAUAUGAUUUAAAAAAGCUCAGGAAAGAGAAUGCACAGUUGCACACCACCUGUUCGACAAAAUGCCUAACUGAAAGAUUCAAAGUACACAAGUUUUGCACCUGAUCAGUGAUCACCAUUUGAAUUUUAUGUCUUCUAACCCAAAUUCAACCAAUCUGAGGUUUAAUCUGAUCCUAACUUUAGGAAUUUUGACAGCCAGAACCAUGUCAAUGUGUGAGUAUGUGUAGUUCCAUCUUUUUUUAUAUGUCAUACACUCAUACUCCCUACUUUGUUCAAAUAUGGCAACAUUUACUGAGGAUGUUCCGGGUUCGAGUAAUUGGGUGUCUUCAGGAUUAGGGCUGUAAGACAGUAGAAUGAGGUUCCUGAGAUGGGGAUUUUGGUACCACAAUGUAAUGCAGUGUAACUGUCUAUGUAUCUCCAUGUAUAUGCACUGCUUGAGUGACAUCUGGAGGCGCAGCCUAUACCGAGAAUCCAGUCAAUGCUCAUCACUUUCUGUUAUGCUGGUGUAUGGUGUCUGCUGCUGCAUUUGUUGUGGCCGUGUGGAAGUCUAAAGUAUCGAUGUUUGGUUCAUCGGAGGGUGGAGAAAACUGGACGGUGUGCUUUGACAAUGCAAAUGAGCAGAAGAAUAAGGGACAGAUGAUAGACCCAGUUGACCCUCUAGAUGGAUACCCUGGAGCAGAUUCAAAGGAACAGCAAUCUGAAGUCCCCCAGUUUGGUGCCUUAAAUAAUCAAGACAAAGUUGGCUACACCACUUAUUUUAACAAUAUCACAGGGUCAAAAGUGAACCCCUGAUGAACAAAGACGUAUGCUGUGAGACUGAGAGGGCCUCUCAGAGGGGAAAUUAUGGGGGUUCCUGCUGGCCAAUAUUGGCGACAAAGUAUCCUCUACUAGAUGAUGAUUGGAUGGAUGAAGUAGACAGGGGCAAUGAUCAGCAAGAUGGCAAGGGUGUUGGUCAAAUUAAAAACCAAGAGAAAAACGUUGGAUGUUGCUUUCCUUGCUUUCCUUGGUUUGCAGGGAAUCUUUAGACUGGCUCCCUAGAUUUCAGAAUCCAGAGGGCUAAUCAAAAUAAGGAUAUAGUUUCCAUUUAUGAUUUAUACAAAGGAUCCUGUAUUCUUCUCUCUAAUUUCAGACGGGCAUGCUUUAAGCCUGUAAGAGUAAUUUGCAGAAGUCAGGGAAGUUACAUGAACUAUAAAGGUGUUAUCUUUGUGCAUUUGUUUUGAGCACAGUGAUGCUGUUGUUUACUUCUCGUUGUCAUGAUGUAGAUACCUCUCUUGCUUCAUUGACUCUAUUCACCAUUAUCAAGAUUAAUACAAAUGUAUUGUGUGCUAGAUUGGUCCAUACUGUCAUCUUUUCAUUUUAACUUUCCAAUAGUACAAUUCUCUGGGGCUAGAAGAAUAUGUCUGCUGAUAUCUCUUACUGUUUUAUAAGGUUUCAGCUCAUUGAAUUCUUUUAGUAAUUUUCCUCUGGCAUUCUGUUGUAUUUGUGUUGUGCAUGCCAAUCUCUUUUAAUCUUUCAAAAAUUUUACAGACAAUCCUGUGUUUGGCAACCUGAAACAUUCCUGCACACUGAACUGUGCUGCUGAAACCAAUGGCCGACAGGUUCAUGUUAAGAAUCAGCGCUGUCGUGAGACUUAGAAAUAGCGGGGCAGUCUUCAAUCCCUUCGCUUUAUCUAUAUGCUCUUGAACAUGUCAACAACUUCUGAAUCAUGUCCAAGAAGAUGCUGAAUGAUUCCACAAUGGUGAAGGUGGCACACAUCUUCU